GAUGAACGCUGGCUACAGGCUUAACACAUGCAAGUCGAGGGGAAACGCCGGGGAAGCUUGCUUCCCCGGGCGUCGACCGGCGCACGGGUGAGUAACGCGUAUCCAACCUGCCUCUGACUGAGGGAUAACCCGUCGAAAGUCGGCCUAAUACCUCAUGGUAUCGUCUUCGGGCAUCCAACGACGAUUAAAGAUUUCAUCGGUCAGGGAUGGGGAUGCGUCUGAUUAGCUUGUUGGCGGAGUAACGGCCCACCAAGGCUACGAUCAGUAGGGGUUCUGAGAGGAAGGCACCCCACAUUGGAACUGAGACACGGUCCAAACGCCUACGGGAGGAAGCAGUGAGGAAUAUUGGUAAAUGGGAGAGAGCCUGAACCAGCCAAGUAGCGUGCAGGAAGACGGCCCUAUGGGUUGUAAACUGCUUUUAUGCGGGGAUAAAGUGAGGGACGUGUCCCUCAUUGCAGGUACCGAAUGAAUAAGGACCGGCUAAUUCCGUG
rnacentral:rRNA from 1 species